rnacentral:rRNA from 1 species
AUUGAACGCUGGCGGCAUGCCUUACACAUGCAAGUCGAACGGCAGCACGGGAGCUUGCUCCUGGUGGCGAGUGGCGAACGGGUGAGUAAUGCAUCGGAACAUGCCCUGAAGUGGGGGAUAACGUAGCGAAAGUUACGCUAAUACCGCAUAUUCUGUGAGCAGGAAAGCAGGGGAUCUUCGGACCUUGCGCUUUUGGAGCGGCCGAUGUCGGAUUAGCUAGUUGGUGGGUAAAGGCCACCAAGGCGACGAUCCGUAGCGGGUCUGAGAGGAUGAUCCGCCACACUGGAACUGAGACACGGUCCAGACUCCUACGGGAGGCAGCAGUGGGGAAUUUUGGACAAUGGGCGCAAGCCUGAUCCAGCCAUGCCGCGUGAGUGAAGAAGGCC